UACGAAGGGGGCUAGCGUUGCUCGGAAUCACUGGGCGUAAAGGGCGCGUAGGCGGCCGAUUAAGUCGGGGGUGAAAGCCUGUGGCUCAACCACAGAAUUGCCUUCGAUACUGGUUGGCUUGAGACCGGAAGAGGACAGCGGAACUGCGAGUGUAGAGGUGAAAUUCGUAGAUAUUCGCAAGAACACCAGUGGCGAAGGCGGCUCACUGGCCCGGUACUGACGCUGAGGUGCGAAAGCGUGGGGAGCAAACAGGG
rnacentral:rRNA from 1 species